GCUGGUGUGGUAUAGUGGCUUGAGCAUUAAACUACAACUUUGGUGACCAGGGUUCAAUUCCCUGCACAUCCA